GUCCCUUUAAAUUAGUCCAAAGUGGCUGUCUUAGAGAAUGUUUCCAAUUUAACUAUUAUAGCUAAAAUUUGUAAUUGAAUUCUUGACAGUUCACACACCAAAUGUAAACUGCAAGAGAAAACAAUAGUUUACAUUUUACCUAGUUUCCCCAUUAUCCAUCAGGACUACUAAACCAUUCUAAGAACCUACCCAAGCCAUGUGGGAAUGAUUUUAAAACAAAAACUGGUAUUUUCUAUUUUGCUCUUUAAAAUCAUGACCGCUUUACUAUAGGGCCUCCAACUACUGGGUGUGUGUCAAAUAAAGACAAAUGUCUAGAACUCAAAGCUGAUAGAAUAGAAUAUCUUCAGAAUCCUAAUACAUUACGGCUAUGUUUGGAUGAAAUGGCAGUUGCCUGAGGGGAUGAUCGAAGUAAACUUGUACCUUGAGAAAAUGAAGUAUUUUAUCACUUGUUAUCCAUCAGCCUAGGGGAAGCCUUGGAAGCAGCCUGACCUUUCCUGUAGCUUUCAGUGAUGAUAAAGAAUCU